rnacentral:rRNA from 1 species
AUUGAACGCUGGCGGCAGGCCUAACACAUGCAAGUCGAACGAGUGGCGGACGGGUGAGUAAUGUCUGGGAAACUGCCUGAUGGAGGGUGAUAACUACUGGAAACGGUAGCUAAUACCGCAUACCAUCAGAUGUUCCCAGAUGGGAUUAGCUAGUUGGUGGGGUAACGGCUCACCAAGUCGACUAUCCCUCGCUGGUCUGAGAGGAUGACCAGCAACACUGGAACUGAGACACGGUCCAGAAUCCUACGGGAGGGAGCAGUGGGGAAUAUUGGACAAUGGGCGCAAGACUGAUGCAGCCAUGCCGCGUGUAUGAAGAAGGCCUUCGGGUUGGAAAGUACUUUCAGCGGGGAGGCGUUACCCGAAGAAGAAGCACCGGCUAACUCCGUGCCAGCAGCAGCGGUAAUAC